rnacentral:rRNA from 1 species
UACGGGGGGGGUAAGCGUUGUUCGGAAUUACUGGGCGUAAAGGGCUCGUAGGCGGCCAACUAAGUCAGACGUGAAAUCCCUCAGCUUAACUGGGGAACUGCGUCUGAUACUGGAUGGCUUGGAUUCGGGAGAGGGAUGCGGAAUUCCAGGUGUAGCGGUGAAAUGCGUAGAUAUCUGGAGGAACACCGGUGGUGUAAACGGCUCUCUGGACCGUAACUGACGCUGAGAC